UACGAAGGGUGCAAGCGUUAAUCGGAAUUACUGGGCGUAAAGCGUGCGCAGGCGGUUUCUUAAGUCAGAUGUGAAAGCCCCGGGCUUAACCUGGGAACUGCGUUUGAAACUGGGAGACUUGAGUGUGGCAGAGGGGGUGGAAUUCCGACGUGUAGCAGUGGAAAUGCGUAGAUAUGUGGAGGAACACCGAUGGCGAAGGCAGCCCCCUGGGUUAACACUGACGCUCAUGCACGAAAGCGUGGGGAGCAAACAGG
rnacentral:rRNA from 1 species